CGCGGGGGGCAGGUUGGUAUCUUGUUGGUCUCAUAAGCCAACUAAGCGGGUUCGAUUCCCGCCCCCGCAA
rnacentral:tRNA from 1 species